rnacentral:rRNA from 1 species
UGGCUCAGAACGAACGCUGGCCCCGUGCCUAACACAUGCAAGUGGAGCGACGAACCAGGCUUCGGCCUGGGGCAAAGCCCCGAACGGGUGAGUAACACGUGGGUAACCUGCCCCGAUGAUUGGGACAACCCGAGGAAACUCGGGCUAAUACCGAAUGUGCCCUCCGGCCAUAAGGCCGCUGGGGAAAGGAAGCUUCGGCCUCCGCAUCGGGAUGGGCCCGCGGCCCAUUAGCUUGUUGGUGAGGUAACGGCUUACCAAGGCGACGAUGGGUAGCUGGUCUGAGAGGACGAUCAGCCACACUGGGACUGAGACACGGCCCAGACUCCUACGGGAGGCAGCAGUGGG